rnacentral:rRNA from 1 species
AGUGAACGCUGGCGGUAGGCCUAACACAUGCGAGUCGAACGGCAGCACAGUAAGAGCUUGCUCUUACGGGUGGCGAGUGGCGGACGGGGGAGGAAUACAUCGGAAUCUACUUUUUCGUGGGGGAUAACGUAGGGAAACUUACGCUAAUACCGCAUACGACCUACGGGUGAAAGCAGGGGAUCUUCGGACCUUGCGCGAUUGAAUGAGGCGAUGUCGGAUUAGCUAGUUGGCGGGGUAAAGGCCCACCAAGGCGACGAUCCGUAGCUGGUCUGAGAGGAUGAUCAGCCACACUGGAACUGAGACACGGUCCAGACUCCUACGGGAGGCAGCAGUGGGGAAUAUUGGACAAUGGGCGCAAGCCUGAUCCAGCCAUACCGCGUGGGUGAAGAAGGCCUUCGGGUUGUAAAGCCCUUUUAUUGGGAAAGAAGAGCAGCAGGUUAAUACCCCGCUGUUCUGACGGUACCCAAAGAAUAAGCACCGGCUAACUUCGUG